rnacentral:tRNA from 1 species
GGGGAUUUAGCUCAGUGGUAGAGCACUUGCCUAGCAAGCACAAGGCCCUGGGUUCGGCACCCAGCUCA